rnacentral:rRNA from 1 species
UACGGGGGGAGCAAGCGUUGUUCGGAUUUACUGGGCGUAAAGGGCGCGUAGGCGGCGCAACAAGUCACUUGUGAAAUCUCCGGGCUUAACCCGGAGCGGCCAAGUGAUACUGUCUUGCUAGAGUGCGGUAGGGGCUACUGGAAUUCUCGGUGUAGCGGUGAAAUGCGUAGAUAUCGAGAGGAACACCGGUGGCGAAGGCGGCCUUCUGGACGAUGACUGACGCUGAGACGCGAAAGCGUGGGGAGCAAACAGG